AGACGCCGUCGUGUGAUCUUGUUAAAGCAGUGCUCAGAAAAAUGUCACAGUAGGGCCUAUACCCUACAUGUUUAUCAUCCUGCCAUGGCAACGGACUACGCAGCUGGGUCCCUCAGAUGUGUUUCUGCUGCCAAUGCACCCUAAGGGCAUCAACAUCUUUGACAAAAAUUGUAUUUUACUUACUGAUAUCAGUCAGAUAUUUAAAUAAAAUUACCUGUUCUGUUUU